rnacentral:lncRNA from 1 species
UGGGGUGUGCGACACUGGGUAAGGUAACAGCAAGGCACAGUCACUAGAUGAUUCCUUCCUUGAGGAGCACUCAAAGGCCUCUUAAAGACACUCUGUUUCUACUAUCAGUUCCAACUACAUGAAACUGCUUUUCAAUCUAAAGUACCUAUUCCUUAGAGCAUCUUUAGUAACAUGGUUAAUAUUACAGUGGUCUUGAUUCAUUGAUCUGCUAAGAAGUAAAGAUUAGAACAGUUGAAGAUAUACUAGAGAAUAAUUUCCAUCUAUUCAGCCUAAUAGCAUUGCAAAUUUGUUUCUACAUAACUACAUUUGAAACCAUACACUUAACUUAGGAAAUGUAAACUAUAAAAGGCUUAAAAAUCUUACAGUAUUGAAAAGCUCAUAAAUUCAAAACCUCUAGUAAGAUCAAUGAAGUUGAAGCUGGUUCUAAGAAAUAACAUGCCACUUGGACAUCAUGGUUCACACAUACAGUUUCAAUUCUUAAGACUGCUUGUGUUAUACAGUAAGACCCUGUCUCAAAAAUAAAUAAAUAAACAAACAAAUAAAUAAAUAAAUAAUUGCCAGAAGUCAAGAAGGACUCGCUGCUAAGCCCUGGAAAUUGUUCUCUGAACAGUUUCUCCUCAAGUGGAAAAUGAUGAGCAGUGCUAAGUACAGUCUUCCAGGAGGGAAGGAAGUUCGUUUGGCUUCUGCAGCUGUCCAUUUCUCAGUGGGUGACUGGUGAGAAAAUACUGAGUGCUGAUGUUUGAAGAAGAUAGAAGAGUCGUCUGUACGUAGGAGUAUAGUCCACAUAUCUAUCUUGGUAGAUUAUCAGGGGCUUGCUCACAACACCAGCUUUCAUGGAAUAUGCUAGCAUUCUCUCUCAGUAGAUACUGUGGACUAAGUCAUAUCCAAGAAAACUGUACUACAAAUCAGACUCUUUCUUAGAUGACAGUAAAUGUUAUGUAAUAGGGAAAUCACUGCUGUACCUCAGAAAUAGAGGGAAAUAUAAAUAUCAUUCAUAUAGGUAUUAGCAUUGCUGUUUAUGUCUUACGACACGAUAUACAUAUCAAGUACAAAGUACCAAGACCUGUGAAUGAUUUAAAUUGCUUUACAGGGCAUGAGAUUCUCACCCAUUUGUAAUCAAAUAACAGUUUUGUACCCUCUUAUGCUCAUCUCCCUAACAUGUAAUAGGUUGGUUCUUGUAAUUUUUUUUUUAUUCUUUUAUGUUCUAGAAGUCUAUUCUCAAUGAAUAUUCUCUUAAAUUUGCUUUUAUUUUUCAGAGAAUUAUUAGAACAAGUUGCUGAAUUUGAAAAGGCAGAAUUUGUAUCUUCAAGUAAAAAGGUAGAUUUUAGUAUGUCUAAGUCUGUAUUUGUUUUUACAGAUAUGAUUAUACCUAUGUAUGCAUGCCUAUUUGCAUGUGUGGGUGCACAUGUGCACAGCUGCCUGUCUUCUUUGGUCACUUUCCACUUUACUGAGGCCAAGACUUUUACUAACCUCAGAGGUCACCAAUUCAUCUAGGGUAGCUCGUCAGCUGUCAUAGGAAUCCCAUGUCUGCUUAUUGAACCCAGAGAUUACAGGCAGGUCACCACACCGACCUGAUGUGUGUGUGAGUACUGAGACUCCAAACGUAAGUCCUCACAUUUGUGUGGUAAGUGCUUUAUCCACUGAAGCUUGUCCUUAGCUUCCUGUGUUUCUCAAUAGCUGGUACCUGAACUCCUCAUAGCAUAACUAGUGGAGAUGAAAGUGAGACAGUCAAAGGAAAGGCAUUCAGGUUGGGAGCAGAACUUAAAUUGCCACUCAUACCUGCAGACAAAAGAUGUAAAAGUUUCAGAAGUAACU